rnacentral:rRNA from 1 species
AUGAACGCUGGCGGCGUGCCUCAUCCAUGCAAGUCGAGCGAACAGACGAGGAGCUUGCUCCUCUGACGUUAGCGGCGGACGGGUGAGUAACACGUGGAUAACCUACCUAUAAGACUGGGAUAACUUCGGGAAACCGGAGCUAAUACCGGAUAAUAUAUUGAACCGCAUGGUUCAAUAGUGAAAGACGGUUUUGCUGUCACUUAUAGAUGGAUCCGCGCCGCAUUAGCUAGUUGGUAAGGUAACGGCUUACCAAGGCAACGAUGCGUAGCCGACCUGAGAGGGUGAUCGGCCACACUGGAACUGAGACACGGUCCAGACUCCUACGGGAGGCAGCAGUAGGGAAUCUUCCGCAAUGGGCGAAAGCCUGACGGAGCAACGCCGCGUGAGUGAUGAAGGUCUUCGGAUCGUAAAACUCUGUUAUUAGGGAAGAACAAAUGUGUAAGUAACUAUGCACGUCUUGACGGUACCUAAUCAGAAAGCCACGGCUAACUACGG